CACUCGACCGUCGAGUGAGGGCACCCUGCAGGGCACAAUACGAAGACACGCAUUCUAUUCAACCGCUGGACGCCUACGAGGGCACAAUACGAAAGACACGCUCGAGUCCACCGUUGGACGCCUACGAGGACACUUGGAGACAAGUUAAUCGGAGGCAAGGAGCGAGAGGAGCAUAGAAAGACAAGGAGUUUAUCUGUUAAGCGAAUGUAUCUUACAGAUAUUAUAAAUACGAUAGAGAGACGUAGAGGCGGCAAUUAACGCUUAAUCCAAUCGCCGGAGGACUCCGUGUUGGAGGAAUUUUGGCAAAUACAUUUUGGUGCCUCCUGUGAGGUGUGAAUUUCUGAUUCCUGGUUUGAGUGAAGCUGCGUAUACGAAAUCGCCACUGAGAAAAUCUAGUUCCUGAACAUACACGCUGCCACGUCGAGCUAGUCAUCACAAAGGAUUCGAAAAGGAGAUAAGUAGAUUGCAUCAUUUGUGCAUACGUUUAUGCGUAUCCACUUUAAAUAUUAUAAAAUAUUCUAUAGGAAAUUACGUCUUCGAACCCCGUAGAAGUUCGUAAUUUCUAAUAUAAAUUUUAUUAUUUUCUCUCAUCUUUCUUACUAAAUUGGUAUAUUAAAAUCGGAAACAACUCAUUCGAAUCCACUUCAAAUUUUAACCGAAGUAACGUAUAUUAAUAGAAUUUGAAAAUCGCUUUGUUCACGGACAAAGGGCGAGAAUAGUUUCGACGGUUACAUCGCUCAGCAACGGUACACUUGUUCAAACAUAAGAUUAGGCGACAAA
rnacentral:lncRNA from 1 species